rnacentral:rRNA from 1 species
AAAUUGAAGAGUUUGAUCAUGGCUCAGAUUGAACGCUGGCGGCAGGCCUAACACAUGCAAGUCGAACGGUAACAGGAAGMAGCUUGCUKCUUYGCUGACGAGUGGCGGACGGGUGAGUAAUGUCUGGGAAACUGCCUGAUGGAGGGGGAUAACUACUGGAAACGGUAGCUAAUACCGCAUAACGUCGCAAGACCAAAGAGGGGGACCUUCGGGCCUCUUGCCAUCGGAUGUGCCCAGAUGGGAUUAGCUWGUWGGUGGGGUAACGGCUCACCUAGGCGACGAUCCCUAGCUGGUCUGAGAGGAUGACCAGCCACACUGGAACUGAGACACGGUCCAGACUCC